rnacentral:lncRNA from 1 species
GUAGUUCAUAUCCUAGUGUCUUGGUAAAAGGCAUGAAUAUGGUGAGCUGAACACAAUCUACUUAUUUUGUAAACGGCAUGAAUUAUACAGUUUGCAUCAAUCUCCUCUCACGUAAGGAUUACUGUUACAUAAUUUCUCUUAAUGCAAUUCAGAGAUUGUCUAAUUAAAGCGGCUAUCAAGCUCUUGGAGUAGCCAAUCUAUAACUUCAUUGGAACAGUCCAGUCCAUAGUGAUGUUUUUAUACAAUUCCAGAUUUUUUUCCUUUAUUUUUUUGGAUCAACAUAUGCAUCUUCCACUUCCAAUCUAGCAAUAUCAUGCAUGUCACAAAACUCAUUCACCUCAUCAUCUAAUAAUUUGGCCCAUCCAUCUCUUCUAAGAUUAUCCAAAUGCAAUCUAUUUCAUUUCACACAUUUAAUGGCAUUUACAAUACCAUCUAGCUGUGUGCUUCUCUUAAAAUACCUUUCCAUGAUGUAUUAUGAUUUGUAAAAAUAGUAAAACUUAGUUGCUUAAUGUCAUAAAUAUAAAUAUGGACAAAUAACCAAAACUCCUAAAAUCAAAUCCUAUUUAGCCACUUAAUGAUGGGAAUUAAAAUAGAAGAGUUAAAAUAGCUCUUAUCUAACAUGAUAUGAAGUUCGAUUUCAUUUUUAUAUAGGUCCUAUAUAUAGUAACCUUGAUAGCUAGGAAGAGUCCUAAUCCUAAUAUAAAUAGAUUACUUCAAUCUUUUGAGUAAGCUAAAUGGGAAUUCUAAUUUAAGAGUUUGAUUCCAGAUUUAUAUUAACACUAGGUAGCGUGCCCGUGCGUUGCUAUGUGAUAGCUAACAUUUUCUAUUAAAAAUACAUGUAUCGCACAAUAAGAUAAUAAUAUUAUAAUAAAUUUUAAAUACCAGCUAU